UGUAACCUCAUUCAUUAAAAAAAUAAUUGCAUGCAAAUUGUCAAUGAAGUUUAGUUAUCCUGUUUAUAGAUUUAUAAAAGAAGUAUUUGUUAUUGAAUGUUUUUUAUCAAGUACAAAAAACCGGUAUAAUUGAGAGGGCGUUCCUUUCGUUAAUUCGUCACAGUUUUAUGUGUAGAAACCGCCUGUUAUAUACAUAUCUUGUGUGAAGUUAAAUGCCGCGCAUUAAUACUGUUGUUAUGUAUAGUCUUAGAUUGCAAAUGGCACCGGUGCAAACGUAAAAUUCACUCCUAACAAUUUCUCUAUUAGCAGAAGGAUUAUACUUGAGUUUUUGAAUAAAAAAAUGAAAACAAAGGCUAAUGUUGUAGAGGUCUUCAAAAUGCCGGAGUAUAUAAAACUGAGAAAUGAAUGACAAUUUUUUUAAUCUAAAAGGCCAUGUUAUGACUGCGAUAUGUACUUUUAUUGAUCUGGUUGUUGAUAAUAAAUAUAAUAAUGUCGCCUAAAAGUGUGAAAGAUCAAGAAUUUACUAAUAAAAAAACCUGUGUGUUUUGCAAUAUUUCGGAUGAUGACGAACUGAAAUAUGGAAAAAUUUACGAAUAUGAAAACAUUGUUACUCAUUAUUAUUGUUUGCUUUUAUCAUCAAAUAUGCAACAAAGAGGUCGUGAUGAAGAUGGAAUAUUGGGGUUUCUCCCAGAAGAUAUUCAUAAAGAACUCAAUCGUGGACGUCGAUUAAGUUGUUCAUUUUGCAAGAAAAAAGGAGCAACUUUGGGAUGUGUAAAUAGAAAGUGUAAAAAGGUAUUCCAUUAUCCAUGUGGAAUUAAAGCUAACACUCUUCAUCAAUUUUUUGGUCAAUUCAAAUCAUUUUGUGCUACUCAUCGACCAAAACAAAACAUUGAUCUUCGAGUGCGAAGUCAAGCACCUGAUCAUUUAGUUUGUUACAUUUGCUAUGAACCAGUUAAACGGGAUGAUAUUCACUCAACACUCUGGGCUCCUUGUUGUAAAAAGAAUGCCUGGUUUCAUAGAGAUUGCGUCCAACAAUUAGCUUUAAGCGCAGGAUAUUUUUUUAAAUGUCCCUUAUGUAAUAACAAAAAAGAAUUUUUAAAAUCUAUGCAAGAAUGUGGAAUUUUUGUUCCAUCUCAAGACGCGUCCUGGGAAUUGGUACCUAAUGCAUUCCAAGAGCUAUUAUAUCGACACAAUCGAUGUGAUGCUCCAAAAUGUAUCUGUCCUCAGGGAAGAACACAUACAAAUCCUAAUGCAAAAUGGGAAAUAAUUCUUUGUCAAACUUGUGGAUCUCAAGGUAUCCAUGUGGGCUGUGGAAAACUCAAGUGGUUAAAUCCGUCAUGGGAGUGUGAUGAAUGUUCAUCGAUUCUCCAAAAAAGCAAUCUUAAUAGUAGUAAUGAUCAAUUUAGAAGUCAAGAUGGGGCUGACAAUUCAUCUCAGUUUAAUUCUGACGAUGAUUCAGAUUCAGAUAUUUCUGCUGGUCGGGAGUCACCUUAUCAAAAUAUUGUUCAAACUUUAAAUAUACCGUUAAUGAAGCUAAAACCCGGACCACGAUCUGCCAAACUUAAGCAACUUCAUCAAAAAGUAGAAACAGAAACAAGUGGCCAUACAACUACUAUGGAGGUGCUAAGUGACAUUCUUGAUGAACAACAAGCGAAUCAGUUUCCAGAUGAAAUAUUUGAGAGAAAAAAGACUGCGGUUAAUCAAGAAACACCAAACCACCAAACACCAAAUCAAGAGACAUCGAAUCAAGAGAUACCGAAAAGUAGCACUGAUGAUUUAUGUGUUAUCACUCUUGAAGAUGAUGAUGACAGCAAUGAUUUGAAUCAUCCUCCUCCGCCAUCGGAAACUACAAAGAAUAAUUCAGUGCAAUCAACCCCUGUGAUGAACAUCAAGAUCACUGAAGUUACCUCUUUACCACCGGAAGUAUUUGCUAAUGUUCCCGAUACUUCAUUUCGUAGAGGAAAUCAGCUUCAAAAUAAUUUAACCAUUGUACCUCAACGUGAUUAUCAAGAUAGAAGACGAGCUGAUUCGCCUUCUAUAGUUUCUAGGAUUGUGAGUAGAGUUAACGACUACCUUGACAUCCCAGAACUGUGUCCAAAAAAACCAAGAAUGGAUGAAAAUUUCGUUUCAACCAAUGGAUUUGUGGCACAUCCAACGAGAAACUUUUCACAGACUAGUCAUUCGACGAUGGACCAUAUGAAUAAUAUUAACUUGUAUCCGACUCAUAUUCCUAUAAAUGGGACUUUUAACACCAAUUAUAAUGGUUUUAAUACUCAGGUUUCGAGGUUUGCGCGUUCUAAGGACCCUAAAUCAUCCAAUUCCGACGAGGAUGCAGGCAUCAAUCCUACAACAGACAAACUCAUCAUUAAUGUAUCCACCGAUGCAGACUCUGAACCAGACUCAGUCUCAACAGAAUGCAGCAACACUGACACAGAAUUAUCAGAAUCUAACCCUGGGCUGUCACUCGAAGAAUGUGGAGGACGACGAAGUCGUAAUGGUGGUAGAUGCAAGGAAUGGACGUCCAGGUGUAAUUCAAAGGGUUACGAGUGCCACAACAAUGCCAGAAGUAAUAGACUUAGACUAAUGAAAGAAAGUGUACUUUUAAAGAAUUUAAAAUUUCGUGUUUGUGAGGGCGACAAUCUUGAAAUAACUGUAUGUAAUGACUUCAAAUUCAAAAUCAUGCUUGAUUCUGCUCAACAAAUGGAUUCUGUAAAUACCCAACGUUCCACUCUUUGCGAUGAUCAUGAUUUGACAAGAUCUUCGCCGGUCCGGAGAUCGAGAGCGACGUAUUAUAAUAAAAUUGAAGAUUUCCCGAACUACAGUUCAUCUAAUAUAAAUUUACAUAGUGAUAAUAUAGAAUUGAAAAAGCCUUACCGAAUAACUAACUUAAAAGAUGUGAAUAAAAAUCAUUUUUCGUAUUCGUUGGAUUCUUCUCAUUCUUUACGAUUACGUAGAAAUGAUAAAAAUAAGUUGAGUGAAUGUUAUAAAUAUAACAAUAACAGUAAUAACAAUAAUGAAGACGUAGCCAAAGAGAAUCUUGUACCUGAGAAGUUUGAAAAACAAAGCAAUAAUUUUGAUUCUCCGAAAUCGGGAAAAUCCAUUAGUAGACUUUUUGUUGCAAAUGGAGACUUCCCAGGAACAAGUAGAGAUAGUUUUCGGGAGUUAUCUAUGAAUCAAAAGCAGUUUUUCAAUUCUAAUCAUUCGAAUGCCGUCAAUCAGAACAUGUCCCGUAGAAGUAAUAAAAAAAGUAUUUCUAAAUCAUUUAAAAAUAUUAAAUGUCACGUUAGUAUUGAAUUAAAUCGAAUUCAAUCAUUGAUUGAUUCAAAGCCAAAUUUAUUUAUGAAAAACAAUAAUAGCUUAGUUAAGACAACUAGUUUAAAUAAUUUACAUAUAGGUUUAGAGAAUCAAAAAAAUUUACAUACAAUUAAUGGAAAAAAACGCAUAAGAAGUUACAGUGAGUCGUCAAUACAUUUGUCUACAAUGGAAUUGGAUCAAAUUUUUUAUGAAAAUCAAGUAUUUAACAGUAAAAAGAAAAAAAAAAGAAAAAAUCAAUUUAAGAGAAAGUAUGCAAUUGAACGGUAUGAAUAUUGUAGAUAAUCUCUUAAUUUUUCUGUCCAUAUUUUUUUACAAUUUUUGACAUUAAAGAUGACUGUAAAUUUACAAAUAUUAUUUAUGUAUGCUUAAGUUGAGUUAUUUUUUAAUUGCUUCAUAUAUUGAUUUUUAAUCAAAAAUAUUAAUUUUUAAUCAUGAUUAUUAUUUUCUAAUCGAUGCUGUAUUAUAUUAUUGGUAAAGAUGAAACAAAUUAGUCAUAAAAAUAUCAUUUACUGUAAAUUCAAAAUUAUUCAACAGGAAUGCGAAAUGAUAGUGUGUUUACACAUAUUUCGAUACGUUCAGAUAUUCGAGGUUAUUUACAUUCAUUCGAUCCAUGUCAUAUGAAAACUGUAUACUCAGAAAAGCAACGCGGAGUGACACAGCGCUGGUAAAAAUCAUGGCAGAC
rnacentral:misc_RNA from 1 species